rnacentral:rRNA from 1 species
GAUUAAACUGAAGAGUUUGAUCCUGGCUCAGAUUGAACGCUGGCGGUAUGCUUAACACAUGCAAGUCGAACGGAAACGAUGGUAGCUU